rnacentral:rRNA from 1 species
CGCUGGCGGCGUGCCUAACACAUGCAAGUCGAGCGGGGUCCAUCCGGUAGCGAAUACCGGGGAAGACCUAGCGGGCGAACGGGUGAGUAACACGUGAGAAACCUGCCCCGAAGUCUGGGAUAACCCGAGGAAACUCGAGCUAAUACCGGAUGUCUUCUUCUGAUCGCAUGGUCGGAUGAAGAAAGAUUUAUCGCUUCGGGAGGGUCUCGCGGCCUAUCAGCUAGUUGGCGGGGUAACGGCCCACCAAGGCGUCGACGGGUAGCUGGUCUGAGAGGACGAUCAGCCACACUGGGACUGAGACACGGCCCAGACUCCUACGGGAGGCAGCAGUGGGGAAUAUUGCGCAAUGGGCGAAAGCCUGACGCAGCAACGCCGCGUGCGGGAUGAAGGCCUUCGGGUUGUAAACCGCUUUCAGUGGGGACGAAUUCAGACGGUACCCACGGAAGAAGCCCCGGCCAACUACGUG